CACAACAAUUGGGUGCACAGAACUGUGGGACCCCAGCAGCAUCAACUACAACAACUCAUCCCCCCUCCCCCUAACCCACAUCUCACUGCCUUUCCGUCUUCAGCUUUAAGAACUGAAACAUAAGAAGAAAAAAACAGAAACAAGACAGAAAGGCCAUAUGAAGGAGGAGAGAUGUGAAGCAGGAGAGAGAAGGGGGCAGGAGAUGGCCAAGGGGAGGAGAUCUUCAGGAGCAAUGGGAGUGGUUGUACGCGUAAACAGAGGACUCAUUGAAAUCGGUUACAGUGCCUGUUCAACCUGAAACGUCUCUGGAGCAGCACGUUUUUGUCACACCACAGAAAAUGGUCCUUCUCUACCCCUAACAGCACAUGGAUGACCGAGGAGUGGCAGAACUGGAAUGGGUAAAAAUCAGUGGGGCCCCUACCCACCAUGUACCCUAACGCACCGGGGCACUUAGCAGGGGGGCCCGCGUAGCACCCCAUUAUGGCACACUGAUUGGGAGGGUGUGGGCCUGCUUUGCUGCUGUCAGCACUAUGUUAUGUAACAGCACUGAGCAGCACGGACACACAGAGGCCAGUGUGUUUCAGAGAGGAAGUCACACUGCAGCCUUUCCUCUGGUACCCCAUUGUGAACCCCCCCCCCCCCCCACCACCACCACCACCACCACCAAACACCCUCUACAUCAGACCAUGAUACACACAUGGACCAACUUAGGACUUAUAAAUGCUUUAAAAAUCUUUGGUGUUACUCAUUUUAUAGUUUUAUUGGAAAAUUUUAAAAAGGAAAAAUAAGUAAAUUACAUUUGAUAAUUACAUUUGGUGAAUGUUAACUGCGAAAAUCACCAGAAUUAAGCCUGAACAUGAUUAGCAUUUAAAUGUUGAAACAUAGUUAUAUAAGAACUAGUUGAUUAGUUAAUACACUGGCCUUUCUCUUUGACUUGGAGCUACAAAUGUGAGUAAUUUGUAAAUUAUUUCUUAUUCUUAAAAAAUAAAAUUAAGUUUAUUGU